ensembl:lncRNA
AUUUUUCUUCUAUUUCCUGAUAGUAUAUUAUAAUAAAAUGACUAGCUUUACUCUGUAUGUCAGCAGUCCUAAAGUCUUGGAACUGAAUUCAAGCAGCUUCAGCGAGCCCAGACUUUGGCAAGGUCUAAAAAAUCAUUUCUUGUUUUAACUGGGAGCAGUUCUCUCAUAUUUGCACUUUUCUGGUCAUUUACCCACGUCUCGUCCGGCACGCACAAGAGGAAGCGACGUGAGUAAAUGAACAGUGUUUGAAUCGUGGUUUGAAUCAUGGUUGGGACAUUGUCGGAUUAUGUCAUCAAGUCCAUCGAGACACCGAAUGAUCACAGAAAUCUUUCACAGCGAUCCUCAUUCAGGGAUACCAGCGCUUGACCGCUCCUCCAAGACCUUACAUCUGCUGAAAUCCAGACUCGACCCGAGGGGUUUCAGCCCUAUUACAAUGAAAGCACUCAAGUUAUUUUCAUUACGCUGCUUGAAAGGGAGGCAGAAUCAAUUUUACAGUUUUUUACAGCUCUGUUUUAUAAAAAAGUGAGUGAAAAAGAGCAUGUUUUAUCUCAUAAAUUCCAGGGAUGGAGUGGAAGAGAAAGAUCUGCACCUGGGUCAGAGCACAGCAAACCAGCGAACCCUCAGAAGUGACCAUUUAUACAAGAGUUCAGGAGUCUGCGCGCCGUCUUUCUCGUGUGGGUUUGAAGCCUUGGGCCGCGGUGAAGGGGUUAUUUGAGCAGCUUCCAUCUACCGCUGGACCCGUUCCAAGGGAAAGUGUAGAGUUGGGCCAAAAUCCGUGGACAGCUACUGAUGAGAUCUGCCGAGUCCAAAAAUGUGAGUGUAAUAAAACAACAGCAUGAGGAAAAGCUGGACGUCCUCCUGGGCUGCAUUAGCGAGCGGUCCAUACGGUAAUGCAAUGAGAGGCCGAGGAUGUAUCGUGCUGAAUCUCUUCCUUGGACCGCGGCCGGGAUGUAUUUAUGGUUUUUCCUUUAGCAGUGUGCGGGUCAGAGGGCGACGUGAGGUCCUGACAGAACACAAUCAUCCAUUAACGCUUAAACAGACAUGAAUGGAAAAAGGCAGCAGUUCAGGAUCAUCAAAUCAGAUCCUUUAUGCAACAAAAGCAUUACCACAUGAAGAAUCGAGAGCAGAGUCACAACGCUUUUCACAGCAACACAUGAUGGAAUCCAGAAUAUAGGAUA